AGCAAACAAAUUCUUUGGCAGAGGGGCAUUUAAAAAUAAGUAAACAAUUUCUGAAAUGUAUAUUUAUGUGUCACAAAAGCGUGGGUGUUGAAGUGUUCCGAAACAGGCCCACAAAGAGACAUUAAGAAAGUCUCGUUAACAUGCACACGAGAUUCAGUACUUAAGGAAAAGCGUCAUCCAAGGGUCAACAGGGUGCAAUUUAUCCACCUGCACUAGUCAGCAGGCAAAACCUUUUUGUUCUAACUUGCAGUCAAGGAACUAAACAAACAUUUUGUAAUGUGGAGACGUAUAUGUUGUACAAACUAUAAAAUUUGUGCUCCAUAGUGUUCAUCUGCUCGUACUUGUCGUGACGCAUUUUAUUUUUUGGCACACUUACCAUUUCUCAAUUAAAUCAAAGCAUUUUAAAGAAUUGUGGUUUUAAUGAACCCACUGCCAAUAUAUAGGAAACAUUUUACAAUUUACAUUAUAUAGACGGGUAUUCUAUUAUAAAGAAGACAUUUCAACCAACACCUAUCGUAAAGAUGCUGAACUCAAAUUGCCAUGCAAAUGGUUUAUGCUGUGGACCUUGAAUGAAGUGCAUGGUGGGAUUUCGUCAGUCAAAUCGAAUUUGUACUAAGAAGAGACCUUGCCAUUGUUGUGGCUUUUGACAACUUUCAAGUUUGUUCCAAGGCCAAAAAGCGGGAGCUCUGGAAAACCAUUGUUUUACAAUUAUUUUUCACUGCACUUUUACGAUAAUUUUAUA